rnacentral:rRNA from 1 species
AGUGAACGCUGGCGGCAGGCCUAACACAUGCAAGUCGAACGGCAGCACAGAGGAGCUUGCUCCUUGGGUGGCGAGUGGCGGACGGGUGAGGAAUGCGUCGGAAUCUGCCUUUUUGUGGGGGAUAACGUAGGGAAACUUACGCUAAUACCGCAUACGACCUACGGGUGAAAGUGGGGGACCGCAUGGCCUCACGCAGAAAGAUGAGCCGACGCCGGAUUAGCUAGUUGGCGGGGUAAAGGCCCACCAAGGCGACGAUCCGUAGCUGGUCUGAGAGGAUGAUCAGCCACACUGGGACUGAGACACGGCCCAGACUCCUACGGGAGGCAGCAGUGGGGAAUAUUGGACAAUGGGCGCAAGCCUGAUCCAGCCAUGCCGCGUGUGUGAAGAAGGCCUUCGGGUUGUAAAGCACUUUUGUCCGGAAAGAAAUCCUUUCGAUUAAUACUCGGGAGGGAUGACGGUACCGGAAGAAUAAGCACCGGCUAACUUCGUGCCAGCCGCCGCCGUAAGAC